rnacentral:rRNA from 1 species
UACAGAGGGGGCAAGCGUUGUUCGGAAUUACUGGGCGUAAAGGGCGCGUAGGCGGCCCGCUAAGUCGAACGUGAAAUCCCCGGGCUCAACCCGGGAACUGCGUCCGAUACUGGUGGGCUUGAAUCCGGAAGAGGCGAGUGGAACUCCUGGUGUAGCGGUGGAAUGCGCAGAUAUCAGGAAGAACACCGACGGCGAAGGCAGCUCGCUGGGACGGUACUGACGCUGAGGCGCGAAAGCGUGGGGAGCGAACAGG